rnacentral:rRNA from 1 species
UGGGGAAUUUUGGACAAUGGACGCAAGUCUGAUCCAGCCAUGCCGCUUGCGGGAAGAAGGCCUUCGGGUUGUAAACCGCUUUUGUCAGGGAAGAAACGAGUUUCUCUAAUACAUAGACUUAAUGACGGUACCUGAAGAAUAAGCACCGGCUAACUACGUGCCAGCAGCCGCGGUAAUAUGUAGGGUGCAAGCGUUAAUCGGCAUUACUGGGCGUAAAGCGUGCGCAGGCGGUUAUGCAAGACAGAUGUGAAAUCCCCGGGCUCAACCUGGGAACUGCAUUUGUGAGUGUAUAGCGAGAGUACGGCAGAGGGGGAUGGAAUUCCGCGUGUAGCAGUGAAAUGCGUAGAUAUGCGGAGGAACACCGAUGGCGAAGGCAAUCCCCUGGGCCUGUACUGACGCUCAUGCACGAAAGCGUGGGGAGCGAACA